AUCGAGCGGAUUUCGGCAGAGUAUCGCCGGAAUUAGCGGUAAACGGGUGAAUAAUGCACAGGAAGCAACCCUCAAGAGGGGGAUAACACCGGGAAACUGGUGCUAAUACCCCAUAAGACCACAGUCAUUUCGGUGACAGGGGUUAAAGGUCUAACGCAAGUUAGAAUACUUGAGGACGCGCCUGUGUCCUAUCAGCUUGUUGGCGAGGUAAAGGCUCACCAAGGCUAUGACGGGUAGCCGGUCUAAAAGGAUGUCCGGCCACAGUGGAACUGAGACACGGUCCACACUCCUACGGGAGGCAGCAGUGGGGAAUAUUGCACAAUGGGCGAAAGCCUGAUGCAGCGACGCCGCGUGAAGGAUGACAGUCUUCGGAUUGUAAACUUCUUUUACAGGGGACAAAACCCGCAAGGGAUGAUGGUACUCUGUGAAUAAGCACCGGCCAACUACGUGCCAGCAGCCGCGGUAAUAUGUAGGGUGCAAGCGUUGUUCGGAAUUACUAGGUGUAAAGCGCCUGUAGGUGUUUCGAUAAGUUUCGUGUGAAAUCUUCCCGCUUAACGGGAAAACUGCGCGAAAUACUGUCGGAAUUGAGUGCGAGAGAGGAAACUGGAAUUCCCGGUGUAGCAGUGAAAUGCGUAGAUAUCGGGAGGAACACCAAUGGCGAAGGCAGGUUUCUGGCUCGUUACUGACACUGAGAGACGAAAGCGUGGGGAGCAAACAGGAUUAGAUACCCUGGUAGUCCACGCCGUAAACGAUGUUCACUAGUCGUGGGAGGUAUCGACCCCUUCUGCGAUGACGCUAACGCAUUAAGUGAACCACCUGGGGAGUACGGCCGCAAGGCUAAACUCAAAGGAAUUGACGGGGACCCGCACAAGCGGUGGAACAUGUGGUUUAUUCGACGCACGCGAGGAACCUUACCUGGUUUGACAUACUGGUGGUAGAAGCCGGAACGCGACGACCGCAGGGACCAAACAGUGCUGCAUGGCUGUCGUCAGUUCGUGUCGUGAGAUGUAUGGUUAGUCUACACGACGCACCUCGUCUAUGUGCUAAGUC
rnacentral:rRNA from 1 species